UUGAGUUUCACAAAUAUCUUGAGUGUGUUGUUGAUGCUUCAUCUUUCUCUUUUGUUGAGAGUAUUUUCUAUUUCCAAUUUUUCAUUAGAAUAUGAUGGUCUAUUUGAGAAUUUUGAUGCAUGUACACAUUUUAUUUGUUUUGACAUUUUUUUUUCUAGAUAUUUUCCUCUUACACUGUUAUAGACUGAGCUCUAAUACCAAUUGAAGUUGAUAGAAAUGUCACUAGAAGAAUGGUUGAAUAGUGACCCCUUUAAAAUUUUGCUUUUAAUCUUUGAAACAAGCUUUAUCAAUAAAAACUAUGAAUCAUACAAUAUAAUAAAGCAAAAGGAGUAUUUUGGCAAGUUUGCCAUUUGUCACAUUAUUAGAGUGUUUUCUAUUUUUAAAAAUACUAUUAAUAGAAAUAUUACUAUAUUUAUCUGUAUAUUUAUUUUUAUAUUUAAUUAAUUAUUUUAUUAAUUUGUUUACACAAACAAUUAAAUUUAGGCACGGCUAAUCAAUGUAUAUUUGAUUUUCAAGAUAUUUGAUUUAUUUUCCUUAAAAGAAUAGACCGCUGCAACUAUACCAUUACUCCACCUUUUAUUUCAUACUCUUGGAAACCAUCAUUCCUGUUUUUACGCUUUGCCCUAUUAUCUAUAGGAAGUCUCCAAAAUUUAAUAGGUUUCCAAUAAAACUUUCUACAUUCCAAAGAAAUAAAUAAAAAUGCAUUGAUUUGAACCGUUUGCUUUUUUUCAAUAUAGCUUUUUCGCUUUCUUAAUUUUCUAUGCAAAUUACAAUAGAACCAUAGCUGAUUUCAAUAAACGCUAAGAGAGAACAACUUUUUGAGAAAGUCCUAAUCGCAUUUCAAAGAGAGAAAACUCACCAGCCAUGGCAGUCGCUUCUCGCAUCGCAUCCAAAUACAAAUUGACAGAAGAAGGAAAAUAGACCAACUCAAGUUCAUAAACUUUUAAGAGAAAUGGAAUCAAAGAGAAGAGGAUAGGAUCUGAGCAUCCUGAGUUUUUUCCUAAAAAUCGUGAGUUGGGUCGUCUCUCUUUCUCUUUGUUUCAGAUUUGCUGAAGGAUUAUGCUCGAGGUGGAAUUCUCGCUGCUGUUGCAUACUCUUUGUCGGUUUGUUUUCUUUUUAUUUGCUCUGAUUUGAUUUUGUUUUAGUUCAUGUUUCGUGUUUGCUAUGAUUUGAUUUUGCAUCACUCUUUGUUGGUGUUGUUGGUGAUAGAGUACUUAUUUCACUUUUCUUUGUAACAAUAAAGUGUUUGUGUUAAACUAAAUUUUCAAUAUAAGUUUAAGUUAUUAAACUCUUUAAUUUUGUGGAUAGAUUGUUUGGUGGAGCUAAAUGCAUUUAGUUGUUGGGGCUAAAUGUAGCCAUUUAUUGGGAUUUGUUUUUGUUGGAGUGAUAACUUAAUUUCAUGUUAUCAAAGGUAGGAACAAGCAGAAAUAAAGCAAACUGUGAAAAAAGAGGAGUACUCGGCCACUUUAAGAAGCAUUUUCAUCUGGAAGAAAUAUAUUGCAAUAUCGGCAUCGAAGCAGACUCUCCUUACUCAUCAAACAGUCGUUUGGGAUACUCAGUUAGAAGGUAAAGGUCUUCUUGAUGUUAGCAUGGAUCUGAAUCAUUUCAAAGGUGCUUUUGAUUGGGUGGAAGCAAUAGGUCCUGUCGUACAAUACCUAAUGAUGGAGCUGAUAGGCUAAUACGAAUUUCUAUUAUACAAUAAUAUUUUUACUCAUGAUACUGAGAAUUAAAAAAAGUUUGUUGCAGACCCGUGAAGAAACCGUAAAAAAGUUGACGACUAAUCCUUUCAUAAACUAUGAACCAUGGUGUCAUUACGUGUAUUGUAAAUCAUAUAUUAGGUAGUCCAAUGCUUUUUGUGACGUGAUAAAAG